GUUUUAUUUUAGCUAGAAGGUUAGCACUCCCCUUGGUAAGGAUAGAACAGGCCCUUGUGGCCUAUGCAGUACAUAUAUGAUUAAGGUGCUUCCACUUAUGUUGUGGCAUCUAACAAGUUUUUUUU